rnacentral:rRNA from 1 species
GACGAACGCUGGCGGCGUGCUUAACACAUGCAAGUCGAGCGGUAAGGCCCUUUCGGGGGUACGACGAGCGGCGAACGGGUGAGUAACACGUGGGUGACCUGCCCUCAGCUCUGGGAUAAGCCUGGGAAACUGGGUCUAAUACUGGAUAUGACUCCACGGUGCAUGUCGUGGGGUGGAAAGCCUUGUGCGGCUGAGGAUGGGCCCGCGGCCUAUCAGCUUGUUGGUGGGGUGANGGCCUACCAAGGCGACGACGGGUAGCCGGCCUGAGAGGGCGACCGGCCACACUGGGACUGAGAUACGGCCCAGACUCCUACGGGAGGCAGCAGUGGGGAAUAUUGCGCAAUGGGCGGAAGCCUGACGCAGCGACGCCGCGUGGGGA